GGCCCCGUAGCUCAGUUGGAUAGAGCGGCAGACUUCUAAUCUGAUGGUCGAGAGUUCGAAUCUCUCCGGGGCCGCCA
rnacentral:tRNA from 1 species